rnacentral:rRNA from 1 species
UACGUAGGGGGCAAGCGUUGUCCGGAUUUAUUGGGCGUAAAGAGCGUGUAGGCGGCCACGUAGGUCUGCUGUGAAAACCCGAGGCUCAACUUCGGGCUUGCAGUCGAUACGGGCAGGCUAGAGUUCGGUAGGGGAGACUGGAAUUCCUGGUGUAGCGGUGAAAUGCGCAGAUAUCAGGAGGAACACCGAUGGCGAGGGCAGGUCUCUGGGCCGAUACUGACGCUGAGGAGCGAAAGCGUGGGGAGCGAACAGG